rnacentral:rRNA from 1 species
AUUACAAUGGAGAGUUUGAUCCUGGCUCAGGAUGAACGCUAGCGGCAGGCCUAACACAUGCAAGUCGAGGGGUAACAGGAGAG